UACGUAGGGGGCAAGCGUUAUCCGGAUUUACUGGGUGUAAAGGGAGCGUAGACGGAGUGGCAAGUCUGAUGUGAAAGGCGGGGGCUCAACCCCUGGACUGCAUUGGAAACUGUCAGUCUUGAGUGCCGGAGAGGUAAGCGGAAUUCCUAGUGUAGCGGUGAAAUGCGUAGAUAUUAGGAGGAACACCAGUGGCGAAGGCGGCUUACUGGACGGUAACUGACGUUGAGGCUCGAAAGCGUGGGGAGCAAACAGG
rnacentral:rRNA from 1 species